AGCAUUAAAAAAAAAAACCUUUAUAUUACAUCAUUUACACAAACCGGACUUAACAGUGAAUAGACAUUUUCCUUAAGAAAGGCAAAUGAGGGUGCAGAAAUAGCUCAGCUGUUAAGGGCACCUGCUGCUCUUCCAGAGGACCCAGGUCUAAUUCCUACCACUCACAUGGUGUCUCACAACCAUCUACCUGGAACUUUUAGUUCUAAAGUACCCAAUACCCUUGUACAGAGGCCCUGGGCAUGAACAUGCUGCAUAAACAUAUAUGUAGGCAAAACACUCAUAUAUAUGAAAUGAGAUUUCAAAAAAAAAAUCUUUAAAAAAAAAAGCAAACAAAUUUUCUUUUGUAUUCUCAUUGACUCAAUCUAGAAAGUAUAACCGUUAAGUGUACAAGAACUGGAAGAAAAACAAAAGAAUUAAACAAUUAAAUAUAAACUUCUUAGAUCAAAUACUGAGAAAUAUUAAGUUGAAUAAUGAAGAUAAACUUGGAAAUCAAUGAACUAGAGAACAGAACAAAGUACUUUUAAAAAGUACUUUUUGUUUUAUGUGUGAGAAUGUUUUGUUUACCUCCAUGCCUGCAUGCAUGUAUGUGCAACAGUGCAUGCCUGGUCAAAGAGGGCAGAGGAGAAUCACCUGGCACUGUGAGCCACCAUAUAGGUAUUUAGAAUGGAACCCUUCUACAAGAGCAACAAGUGCUCUAAACUACUGGGUCAUCUCUCUACCUCUUAUAAAUUUAGUUAUAAAUCAAAAUACUGGUACUUUGCCUAGCCUGGGGGCAGAGGCUUUUAAUCCUAGCUACUUGGGAGAAUAAAGAAAGAGGAUCAUAAAAGUUCAAGACUUGUCUGAGCCACCAAACAGGUUCAAAGCCAGUCAAGGCAACUUGGUGAAACUCUGACUCAAAAAACAAAAUAAAACCACCACCAACAAAAAUCCAGCAUGGUUCUAGCCUAGAAUGUAAAGACCUGUGGUUAACAAUCACUAGCACAUGAGGCUGGAGAGAUGGCUCAGUAGUUAAGAGCACUGGUGAAAUGGAAGCACAAGCUGAUACAGAAGCCAUGGAGGAGUGUUGUUUACUGUGCUGCAUGCACACACCAUGGCUUGCACAGCCUACAUUCUUUCUUACAGCACCCAGCCCCCCCCCCCCAUGGAUGGCCUCAUCUACAAUUAGCUGGGACCUCCCACAUCAUCAAUGUAAAAAAUGCACCACAGGUUUGUCCAUAGGUCAAUCUGGUGGAGGUAUUUUCCCAACUGAGGGUUCCUCUUUUAAAAGGAUUCUAGCUUGUAUCAAAUAGACAUAAAACUAACCAGCAAAACACCCAUACCAAAAUAACUUUUUUCUCUCUCUGUCUUUGUAUGUUAUAUGUGUACAGGUGCAUGAGGAGGCCAGAAAAGGGUUCCCCUGUACUGGAAUUAUAGGCAGUUGUAAGCCACUUGACAAGGAUGUCUGAAACUGAACUGCCACGCCAUCUCUCCAGCCCAAAUUGUAAAGUUGUUUUGGUUUGUUUGCUUGUUUCCGGAGGCAAGAAGAGCAAAUUAUUGAAACUGAGCUGUGUGUGUUCCAGCACUUCAUCAAGCAGAGAAGACUGCAAAUGACCCGUGUGUCCAGACGCUACUGUCUUCUUACGUGUAUAAGUUGGAACAGAGGAACAGAGGAACAGAGGUCAAACACCUUGCCAAAGUGUAGUCUCAAAGUUACAGAGCCACAUUAACUAAGAGAAUUUUAAGAAAUGCAACCAAAACAAAUAAAAAACAUAGUUGGAGAGGCGAGAUCCUGGAGAAGGAAUAAGAAAUGCACCUCGUGCGGCGCGGCGGAGGGGAGAGCUCACCCGAAGAAGCAAAGAAGCACAGAAUAGGGAGGUUGGGAGGAGAGCCUGAUCACCUGGAGACACCUUGAGGAAAACUUGUAGACGCUGGAGAGCUUUUGAGACAACGCGGGAAGGUGACAGAGUUUAGAAUUGGAAAAUUGAGACUAAUGGGACGGAAGCCGCAUGCCAUUCAGACCGCGGGGAGGUUGGGCCGUGUUAUGCUGUCGGCUGUGCAGGCCGGUGAGGAGCAGAAAAAAGCUCCAAUAACGCAGAUGAGUGAGCAGAGUUAGACGAGGAAAAGAUCCCAGAGAGGAGGGCAGAGAACUUACAGCACGGAGUGGUUUAAGAGGAAAAGCCUAAAACCUGCUUACAUAGAAGAGGUUCUGCACCAGUGUCUGUGAGUGAAGGAACAAAUGGCGACGCGCAGAAACAAUGCACAAAAAUAAAAUGCACGAUGCGAGUAUGAGAAACUGGCAAAUGAGUGUGUGCUGAAACUAUUGUUUAGGGUGGAAAGAAAGUGUAAUUUUCAGUCAUCAAUCGAGUUAACAUAAUAAUUACUUGCAUGUUAAGCGAGUGCUCUACCACUUGAGCUAAUCCCGCAAGACAAGAGACUUUUUUCUUGUACUUUGUUUUAUGCCAAGUACCUCCACUGUUU
rnacentral:sRNA from 1 species